GGGAAAUGCGCGUUUCCCCGUCUCUCGACCACCCGACAAUCGAAGACAAGACUGGGCUUCGGCGUUGGGCCAAAUCUCGAUUCUCGGGCCCGUUUGAUCGCCCCAUCGGCUCUUUUCGUCGAUUUCCUCGUGUUUUAAUUAAAUUUCUCUAAUUCCGUUUAAGAGGUCAGUUUUCAAUGCGUUGGGAAUAUCUGCAUUUUUUCUCGGUCCAUUUGUAACGUUUUAAGUCAUAUUAAUGGGAACCUCAUGGCUAAUUCUCCUUCAUUGUUGGACGAUGAGAACAUAACAAUUAAAACAAAAUCAAUCGAAAAAACUAUUUUGCCUUUAGUGCAGCAGAUAUCAAAUUUGGUAUCACACAGGGAGCGCAGUAUUUGUUCUGAACGCUCUUUGCGAGUCAUAGCCAGAGUGGGCCAAGGUGUAAAUGUUGCUGUUGACAGAUUCGUGACAGUUGGAGAAAGUAUUGCGAGCGACAUCCCUGAACUGAGAGAUGACAUGUUCAGAGCAUGCAACGAUGCAAGAGCAGCAGGCAGCGCCAUAGAAAAGCUGUGCGAAUCGGCAGGAGAAGACUGCAUGCGUGACAGGGCGGCAGUGGCUCGCGCGGCAAAAUCAUUACUGGCUUCUGUAACCAGGGUGUUAUUGCUUGCUGAUGUUGUCGUAGUCAAACAAUUGCUUCUUGCCAAAGAUAAGGUCAUAAGAAGCCUUGGUAGACUAGAAGGAGUUUCCAAUUUUACCGAAUUUGUCAAAGCGUUUUCCCAGUUUGGCCAAGAAAUGGUCGAACUCGCUCACUUGACAGGAGAUAGACAAAACGAUAUGAAGGACGAACGAAGGCGAGCACAAAUGAUGGCCGCAAGGCAGGUUUUGGAAAGGUCGACACUAUUGCUCCUAACUAGUUCUAAGACGUGCUUAAGGCACCCGGAUAGUUCGGCGUGCAGGGAGAAUAGAGAUACAGUCUUCUGCCAAAUGAGGCGUGCGAUGGACUUGAUACAUUUUGUCGUAAAAGACGGUGUUUUUGAAGGGGAGAUCACAGAAGAUUGGGACGCUGGAAAAACCGUGCUGUCUGCUAUUAGGCAGUUUGAAAAUUUGGUCGAGAUGACAAGACUAACAUAUGUCACAAUACAAACGAAGGAAUCGCUUUCAAGUGCUAUCGACACUAUAAUCGAGAGGACUCAAGAUUUCACAGAUUCGGCUUAUACUAGUCAUGAACACCGUGAAAAUAUUCUUCUGCUAUGUGAUAGAGUAAGAAUUCAACUAAGCACACUAUUAAGAGUUGGUGUAAGUUUGGAGGAAACUGAAGGGUAUUCUCCGACUGAAGAAUUAGAAUGUGCAAUUCAAAACUGCCUGUCAGCAUCAAAGGACCUACAUAAUCAAUUGAUCUGCACGACAAGAGAGCAGACGUUGGAUUUACCAAAUAUUACUAAAAGCGGGGCACAAUUAGUGAACUUCAUAACCAAUUCAGCGUUGGCGUGCGAUGAGAUUCGAACACAGCACAGCUCGCAAUGUUUCUCCCAACACAUUGAACAUAUUGUCGAGAUGUGCAAAUUAUUGAGGCAUAUCGCGUCAACUGAAACGUUACAAGUUUCUGCUCGUUAUACUGAAAUCAACAUACGAAUAUACGGCCCACAGAUUGCACUCGCUGCAACAACUUUAACGCAGCAUCCUACAAGCAAGAUUGCAAAAGAGAAUCUAGAAGUGUUCACAGAUAUGUGGCAUUCUUUAAUGAGUGAUGUUACAACCAUCUGUAAAGAUAUAAUGGAAGCAGGGCAAAUACCAGAGAAACAGAUGUAUAUGUCCCUUCCUCGGCCUGGUAAACAUGGAACAACGAGCAAACCUUUAAAAGCGGUGCGCCUGGAUGUUGAUGAACAAGAGAAGAUUGCAAAACCUGGUUUGGAAAUGAAACUUGCCAGUUCAGAGGUAGACGCAGAAACGGAAAGGUGGCAAGAUGCUCCGAAUGGAACCAUAGACGAAAACAACGAUAUCGUGAAAAGGGCUAAAAACAUGUCACGUAUGGCUGUCAGCAUGUACCAAUUUACAAAAGGAAGUGGUUCCCUCAAAACAACACAAGAUUUGUUCACGCAAGCUGAAUACUUCGCUGAAGAAGCCAAUAGACUGUAUAAAAUAGUGCGACAGUUUUCCUAUCAGGUACCAGCUGGAGCGCAUAAAAAGGAAUUGUUAGAACAAUUGGAUCGCGUUCCGACCCAUGUUCAGCAGCUGCAGUUUACGGUUAAAAACCCAACUGUCGGUAAAGCGGCCACUUUCACAAAAGUUGACACAGUUAUUCAUGAAACAAAAAAUCUGAUGAGUGUCAUAUCGAAAGUAGUCACUACAUGCUUUGUAUGCGCCACCAAAUGUCAAGCAGUUCCCCAGUUACGAAUGCCAAUGUAUAUGCCGUAUACUCCGAUACCUUUUGAUGUAAUUGGGAGACCUUUACUACCUUUCUACCGGGCAAGGACAUUGCCUCGAUAACAGUAUAUGGUCCUUUCAGGAACACGGAACACUGCACUACAAACUAUCAUCAUUGCCUCAAGAAACUUUCAGCUUGUUGCUAAAGCAAUGGAAAUUUCACUGGGAAGCGAAGUACACGCUAGACUUACAAGGGGUUGGUUGGAAUGGUUCUGGUGGUGGAAGUGGUCGAGAAGAGGGAGGCUCACGAGCAGGCGGAG
rnacentral:misc_RNA from 1 species